CAGUGUCUGGGGGGCAAUGGUGUCACACAGGCAGAGAGAAGAGUGAACGGCAGCAGAAGCUGCCAGCCAUGGAAGGCGCAAUCGGGCAGUAAAUAAGGAGUGGUCAGAGCACACUGAAGUUUAGAGAAAUGCUUCCCCAGGUGGUAAGAAAAGGGCUCGGGCAGAACCCAGCGGCCCCCUAGGAUGACCUCGAGCGCCGCAACUCCCGACCGACGGGAACCACGGCUGAAGCGGCGGCACGGACGAGCCCCCCCCGGAUCGCUUCUGCGCUGGCGGCUUUUCACCUAAACAGUUCCCACAGCGGCACCAUCGGCUCAGCGGCACCAGCGCUAAUGCGGACGGGUUCGGUGACCACGGCCGCUUUCACCAAGGCCCGCCCGGCCGGAGAAAGGGGCUCCCGGCUGGGCGGUUACGCGGCGGGGGCAGCCCGAGAGCAGCGCCGCCUGUCACCUGAACAGCGGCUCCGGGUCGCUCGGCACAGUCCCAAAGUAGUUAUGCCAUGCGAUGGUCGAGGGACAUUACAUCGGGCACAUCACCAGCUACCAACAGUACCAGGAGGCGUGAGCCAGAGUGACAUCAUUCUCCCACUACAAGAAAGGGACCAACUGACCUUCUCCCUUGGAUCAUAUGAACUGGAACCAUAAACUCCCUAAACAUUAAAUCUCGCCAAAUGAGGGUCAAUCCAUCCUCAUCAUCAUAUCCACUCAUUAUACUCCACACUCGAACACAAUCACUCUAUGAACUUCAUACCCUCAUAUCUCAAUGUCUGUACUUUGACCCAUCAACCUUUUACCCCCAAUCGGGGAUAUUACAGAUUAUGUAUUCCUCAUGCCACCUGAUCUUAAGCCAAAUUUUGCACCUUUGAUAAUCUGUAUGUUAUUCCUUGAUAACCAGAAACUUCUAUGCUCAAACUUUUUUUUAACAUCUUAAUAAAAUUUUAAAAUCUA